UUCAGAUUCACAAUAUAGGACUUUAUAUCUUGUUUAGCUUGGACCACAAUUAGCUGAAAGAAGAGCUCUUGAGCUGGUUUAAAGCCAACAGUCUUAACUUCCCCAGGUGUAGUUAAUUGUUACUCAACAUAGCUUAACAUUGGUGAGCUAAAUGGCAGGUGGGAAGCUUUUGUAAUCAACAGCAGAGCAGCUGCUCCUUCCUUCCUUCCUUCCUUCCUUCCUUCCUUCCUUCCUUCCUUCCUUCCUUCCCUCCUUCCCUCCUUCCCUCCUUCCCUCCUUCCCUCCUUCCCUCCUUCCCUCCUUCCCUCCUUCCUUCCCUCCCUCCCCAUCUGUCCAGAAGGCUUUGAGAAGCAGCUUUCUCUUAUAUUUUGCAAAAUGGAUAAAGACAAGCAAAUAACCCAAAGACAACUCCAGUUCUCGUGGACCCACCCAAAUAAACACAGAACUCCGCCCAACCUAUUACAGAAAUGGAGAUCCAAGAAGGGAUUAUAUUGAAAGUUACAAAAGGACCAGUGCUUCAAUAAGGCAAGAAAGCAGGAAGUGAAGAAAAAUACAAAAUCUGAAGAGGAUGAAGAUCUUUGUUAAAAAGUUCCUUCAUUCUAUGUUUACCUGAUGUAACUUCAUUCCUGGAUUUAUCAUGCGACCCAGCAUCAGACAACCAAACCUGAAGCUAGACAGAGCAACUGAGCAUGAUAAUUAAAGAUAAAUCAUAUCUUACAACAAAAGUCUCAGUUUUCCCAAGGUGCUGUUAUAUAUAUAGUACUUUUUUAUUUUCCACUGGCUCAGACAUCUGAACACAAAAAAAUAUUAUUAUGGUUUAUACAGAAGUAUUUAAUUUCUUUUUCUUUUUCCUAAACGAAGAAGAUAAUACAUGCUCUGGUCAAUCCAGUAGCUGUAAGGUGUAGGUCCUGAAAGAAAAUGAAGCCACACUGAAAUUUAGUUCUUCGUUCUGGUGUACAGAAAGACAAAAUCUUGAGUAGUGUCAUGUCAGUACAUCCCUAAGUGCAGAGAUUUUACUGACCUGGAAGGUGCACUGGAAAGUCUUGCAUUCCACUCUGUGGUCUCUGCAGCUCACAGCAAGCACUGGCUGUAUUAAUGUCUGCUACAGAAAGAGCAAAUGCAAUCUACUGGUCUUGGUACAGUUAGAGAAUUUAGCUCAAAAAGGAUGAACUUCUUUCCUAAAAAGGUAAAGUUAGGUCAGUUACACAGAUUUUGUUUUAAAAUUUUAGUCCCUCUAUAAUCCUUGUAAAGUAUGGAAAAAUUGUUCUUU
rnacentral:lncRNA from 1 species